UUGGGAUCAUCCAAGCGAUACCCACCGCCACACCAUAUUGUAUGAAAGCUAAACCCUUGCAAAGUUGGGAUAGUGAACAGUGUCGUUACCGAGAUUUUGAAUUUGUUCUCGGUUAUGCAACACCCUACCGUUGGAGAGUAACGAACAGUACGAUAGCGACUAGACAAAAGUGAGUCCCAUAUGAUGUUUCGUUGUGUUCCCCUUGCCAAUUUUGUGAAUAAAUUUACAGUUUCCCCUGAAGAAGACCGACAAAACCGGUCGAAACGUCGGGCAGUUUUAAUAUAAACAUCGCUUGAUUAUUUUUAACCGACUGAGAAAGCCGACCAAUCAGAACA